rnacentral:lncRNA from 1 species
UUUCCCUCGAAAACAAUUGUGAGGCAGUGACCCAGCAAGGUUUGUUAUUAAUUGAUUGAAGCUAAUAACAGUCCCAGGAUGUCUGAUGAAGAAGAUGCUCCGGGCUGACCUCCAGGCCAAUAAGAACGGGGUGUCCAUCAGGCGGAAUACAGGUCCCUGACCGAAAGCUGGGCUACCCUUCACUGGAGUGCUUCCUCCCAGCAUCCCCUCUGUGGUCAGGAUGGAGAAUUGCAUUGGGGAGAUAAUGUGCCUCGCUGCAGUCUGUCAAGAAACGGCCCACAUCGCUCAGCUGGUCGCCCGUCAGAAGUCCAGCAAGAGGGCGCCUGGCAGCUCCCAGAUGCUGAACUGUCAGAUGACGUCGAAAUUGGCUUCAAACUUUGUGUUCUAUGGUAGGUCUCGUCUGUCCUUGUCACAGUCAGUGUCAUCUGACAAUGGCUCUUUUUCUGAAUGUGUCUUU